rnacentral:lncRNA from 10 species
GCUUUUAUGAGCUGUAACACUCACCGCGAAGGUCCGCAGCUUCACUCCUGAAGCCAGCGAGACCACGAGCCUACUGGGAGGAACGAACAACUCCCGACGCGCCGCCUUAAGAGCUGUAACACUCACCGCGAAGGUCUGCAGCUUCACUCCUGAGCCAGCGAGACCACGAACCCACCAGAAGGAAAAAACUCCGAACACAUCUGAACAUCAGAAGCAACAAACUCCGGACACGCCGCCUUUAAGAACUGUAACACUCACUGCGAGGGUCCGCGGCUUCAUUCUUGAAGUGAGUGAGACCAAGAACCCACCAGUUCUGGACACAAUUUCAAGUCCUCAGGUGCCAUCAAUAUUCUGAAAAUGGCAGUGAUUUUUAUUCAACCUGUAUAAGGCACUUUCACCAUGUACCUGGAAGCAACAUCUACAUCUUUUUCAGCAAUCUAGAUGCUGGGGACACAAGGUCCACCUUCCAGGAAUAUGGCCAUGACACCAGAAAUCACAAACAUGAUGAGAAUGGAAUGACUGGGGAAGAAGUGCCAGAUGCUUCACUUGUAAAUGAAGACCCAGCCUCUGGGGAUGCAGAUACCACCUCCCUGAAGAAGCUGAAUAUCUGCAGAUAAGUGGAGUUCACCAAUGAUGAGGAGCGGGAUGGAGAAAGGAGGUAGGGAGAGUCAUCCAAGGAACAUGAGCAACAUGUUAAAAGCCAAGUGGUUUAAUUUCUGGAGAUGGUGAACCCAAGAGGCUCUGCUGGGAGACAACAAAAAUAAUGAAGAAUUGAACCAGAGUCCGGUGAAUAUCAGCACUGGGACCAGUUAGCAGAGGAAAAGGAAAGAAUAAAAGCGAAAAGAAUGAAGAGUCAUAUGAUUACCAACUUUUCCUUUUUCAUAUAAAUUGAGUGUAUAUGGGUCUGGAACAACCUGAAUUUCCAUCAAGUCCUGGCUAACCUCAUUAUGUCCUAUGAAUAUUUUUGACUAAUCCCACUUUACAUUAAUCUGUAUUGUGAAUGUGGAUAUUGAAUUAUAUUUCUUUGUAAUCCCAUUAUCCAAAAUCCAGUUCAGAGACUAUUAGUUACCAAUGUUCACUGUGAAGGAAAAAAAAAAAAAAAAAGCUCAGAGGAUAAACAUGUGAUAUGGUUUGGCUGUGUCCCCACCCAAAUAUCAUCUUGAAUUGUAGCUCCCAUAAUUCCCACGUGUUGUGGGAGGGACCCGGUGGGAGAUAAUUGUAUCAUGGGGGUGGUUCCCCCAUACUAUUCUCAUAGUAGUGAAUAAGUCUCACAAAAUCUGAUGGUUUUAUGAGGGAAAACCCCUUUCACCUGGUUCUCAUUCUCUUCUCUGGUCUGUCGUCAUGUAAGACAUGCCUUUCACCUUCUCCACCAUGACUGUGAGGCCUCCCCAGCCACGUGGAACUGUGAGCCCAUUAAACCUCUUUCACUUAUAAAU